rnacentral:rRNA from 1 species
GAUGAACGCUGGCGGCGUGCCUAACACAUGCAAGUCGAGCGGAGACCUCUGAAUAGCAAUAGGAUGGGGUUUUAGCGGCGGACGGGUGAGUAACACGUGAGCAAUCUGCCUUCUGCAGGGGAAUAACAUUGUGAAAACAGUGCUAAUACCGCAUGAAGUGUGCCCGGGGCAUCCCGGGUCCACCAAAGGAGAAAUCCGGCAGGAGAUGAGCUCGCGUCCGAUUAGGUAGUUGGUGAGGUAAUGGCCCACCAAGCCUGCGAUCGGUAGCCGAACUGAGAGGUUGACCGGCCACAUUGGGACUGAGACACGGCCCAGACUCCUACGGGAGGCUG